rnacentral:rRNA from 1 species
GACGUAGGGCGCGAGCGUUGUCCGGAUUAUUGGGCGUAAAGAGCUCGUAGGCGGCUUGUCGCGUCGUCUGUGAAAUCCCGAGGCUCAACCUCGGGUCUGCAGUCGAUACGGGCAAACUGGAGUGUUGCAGGGGAGACUGGAAUUCCUGGUGUAGCGGUGAAAUGCGUAGAUAUCGAGAGGAACACCUGUGGCGAAAGCGAAUCUCUGGACAGUUCCUGACGCUGAGGCUCGAAGGCUAGGGUAGCGAAAGGG